CAAACUUCCAUUGCAAAACAACCGUCAUGGCUUCUUCUUCUCCACCAUCAAAAUACAGAUUCUCCCUUGUGGUUUUGGUGCUUUGUUUUAUUGUUGGCUCUUUGGUGGCUGUUGCCUCUGCUAGUAAUUUCAAUAAAGAUUUUGAGAUUACAUGGGGUGAUGGCAGAGGUAAGAUUUUAAACAACAACGAGCUUCUAAUGCUGUCUCUUGAUAAAGGCUCAGGCUCAGGAUUUCAAUCCACAAAUGAGUAUCUGUUUGGCAAGAUUGAUAUACAGCUUAAGCUUGUCCCUGGAAACUCUGCUGGCACUGUCACUGCCUGCUAUUUGGCCUCAGAAGGAUUAACAUGGGAUGAGAUUGAUUUUGAGUUCUUGGGGAACCUAAGUGGUGAUCCUUACAUCCUUCACACCAAUGUGUAUAGCCAAGGCAAGGGCAACAGAGAGCAACAGUUCUACUUCUGGUUUGACCCAACUGCUGAUUUCCACACACAUUCAAUCCUUUGGAACCCUUAACGCAUUGUCUUCUCAGUGGAUGGUACCCCAAUAAGGGAGUUCAAGAACUUGGAGUCAAUUGGUGUUCCAUUUCCCAAGAACCAGCCAAUGAGAUUAUACUCCAGCCUUUGGAAUGCAGAUGAUUGGGCUACUAGGGGUGGUCUGGUUAAGACAGACUGGACCAAAGCUCCUUUCACCGCCUCCUACAGGAACCUCAAUGCCAUUAAUGCCUCUGGCAAUACAUGGCUUUCGCAAGAGUUUGAUUUGGCAAGUCAGGAGAAACUGAAAUGGGUGCAAAGAAACUACAUGAUUUACAAUUACUGCAAAGACACCAAGAGAUUUCCCCAAGGCUUUCCUCAAGAAUGCGCACUACUGUCUUGA